rnacentral:rRNA from 1 species
UGGGGAAUAUUGGACAAUGGGCGCAAGCCUGAUCCAGCCAUGCCGCGUGAGUGACGAAGGUCUUCGGAUUGUAAAGCUCUUUUGGCGGGGACGAUAAUGACGGUACCCGCAGAAUAAGCCCCGGCUAACUUCGUGCCAGCAGCCGCGGUAAUACGAAGGGGGCUAGCGUUGUUCGGAAUUACUGGGCGUAAAGCGCACGUAGGCGGAUGUGUCAGUCAGGGGUGAAAUCCCGGGGCUCAACCUCGGAACUGCCCUUGAUACAGCACGUCUCGAGUCCGGGAGAGGCGGGUGGAAUUCCUAGUGUAGAGGUGAAAUUCGUAGAUAUUAGGAAGAACACCAGUGGCGAAGGCGGCCCGCUGGUCCGGUACUGACGCUGAGGUGCGAAAGCGUGGGGAGCAAACAGG